rnacentral:rRNA from 1 species
GAUGAACGCUAGCGAUAGGCUUAACACAUGCAAGUCGAGGGGCAGCACAAGGUAGCUUGCUAUCUGGGUGGCGACCGGCGCACGGGUGCGUAACGCGUAUGCAACUUGCCCUAUACAGGAGGAUAACCCGUCGAAAGACGGACUAAUACUGCGUAUGCUCACAACUUGGCAUCAAGUGGUGAGGAAAGAAAUUCGGUAUAGGAUAGGCAUGCGUCCCAUUAGCUUGUUGGUGAGGUAACGGCUCACCAAGGCAACGAUGGGUAGGGGAACUGAGAGGUUUACCCCCAACACGGGAAAUGAGACACGGACCAGACCCCUCGGGGAGGCAGCAGUGGGGAAUAUGGGUAAAGGGGCGGGAGCCUGAACCAGCAAAGUCGCGUGAAGGAUGACUGUCUUAUGGAUUUGAAACUUUUUUUAUACGGGAAUAAAAAGGGUCACGGGGGACUCCCGGCAUGUACCGUAUGAAUAAGCAUCGGCUAACUCCGU